AUUGAACGCUGGCGGCAAGCCUAACACAUGCAAGUCGAACGAGUGGCGGACGGGUGAGUAAUGUCUGGGAAACUGCCUGAUGGAGGGGGAUAACUACUGGAAACGGUAGCUAAUACCGCAUACCAUCGGAUGUGCCCAGAUGGGAUUAGCUAGUAGGUGGGGUAAAGGCUCACCUAGGCGACGAUCCCUAGCUGGUCUGAGAGGAGGACCAGCCACACUGGAAGUGGGACACGGGCCAGACUCCGACGGGAGGCAGCAGUGGGGUAUAAUGCACAAUGGGCGCAAGCCAGAUGCAGCCAUGCCGGGUGUAUGAAGAAGGCCUUCGGGUUGUAAAGUACUUUCAGCGGGGAGGCGUUACCCUCAGGAGAAGGCCCGGCUAACUCCGUGCCAGCAGCCGCGGUAAUUC
rnacentral:rRNA from 1 species